GAAAUGCGAUAAGUAAUGUGAAUUGCAGAAUUCAGUGAAUCAUCGAAUCUUUGAACGCACCUUGCGCUCCUUGGUAUUCCUUGGAGCAUGCCUGUUUGAGUAUCAUGAAAUCUUCAAAGUAAAUCUUUUGUUAACUCAAUUGUUUUCUACUUUGGUAUUGGAGGUCUUUGCAGCUUCACACCUGCUCCUCUUUGUUCAUUAGCUGGAUCUCAGUGUUAUGCUUGGUUCCACUCGGCGUGAUAAGUUAUCUAUCGCUGAGGUCACUGUAAAAGGUGGCCAAGGUAAAUGCAGAUGAACCGCUUCUAAUAGUCCAUUGACUUGGACAAUACUUUUAUGAUCUGAUCUCAAAUCAGGUAGGACUACCCGCUGAACUUAAGC
rnacentral:misc_RNA from 1 species